GGACAAGAGAAGAAAAACAGAUGGAGAGAGAGAGAGAGACAGAGUGAGAGAGAGAUUUAUAAUCACUUUUUAAAAACAAUUAUUUUAACAAUUAACACAAACCUUUAUAGUACUCUAAAAAUAAUAAUAAUAAUAGCCUAAUAAUCCUCAUUAACUACAUAACACCACCCAACAUCACAACACCAUUCAAUCUAAAAACUUUCAAUUAAUCAAUUUGAAUAAUUAAAAUCAACAAUAAUUCUUGCUUUAAUCACAUGUUUGAGAGAGAGAGAGAGAGAGAGAGAGAGAGAGAGAUUCUGUGUGGCUGUCCAGCGUCACACCAGAUUUACACAAGGACAAAAAAAGUUGGGUUAACGACAGGGAAAAAAAAACUACACCCUCCCUCUCUUACUCCAGAGGAGUGUGUGUGUGUGUGUGUGCGUGCGUGUGUGUGUGUCAGAGUAGAGAACGAGUCUGAAGGAGCGAGGAAAAGUUCGCCAAGCAGCUCCGCGGAUCUGGUGUUUGUUUCUGUUUCUUUCACAAACCUGACGCAGAAGAACGAAGCCGUGAGCAGAGAAUGACGACUGCAUCUGUGAGCAGAUUGUGUGCAUUUUGGUGUUGUGUGUUUGCUGUCCUGUCCUUAACAAAAGCUGAGGAAGCAGAGAAACCGGCGACCGGACGAAAGUCUCGUCAAGCAGAAGAGGAGGCGCUUGAAGGAGUGUGGGGUCCAUGGAGCGAGUGGACGGAGUGUUCUCAGAGCUGUGGAGUGGGCGUGUCUGAGAGGCGGAGACAGUGUAUGCCCCCACCCCAAACUCCACCUCUUAUGUGGAACCGACCGGCUUACAUUCCACCAGGUGUCCCAAACAACACCCCUGUGAUCUCUGCGGUCAGGCCCUACUACAACUCCUUGUAUCCCGUCAACGAGCCCCCUCCAUUUGGAGCAGGGGGCGCUGAGAGGCCUCCAUACUUUUCCCCGCCUCUCCCAGCCAAUCCAAAUCCCGGAUUACCGCUCUACCGAAACGAAGCCGGUGGUGCUGGGUCAGUGCAGUUUGGCCCACCCAAUCAGGAGCCGGUUUCAGUCUACCGUUCACCUUCCUCAUCCGCUUCACUUCCUUACGGGAGAGUUCCCGCACGGUCGCCCAAUCACGGCAGAGCUGUAGGCAGUGGGAGCAGGAGGUCGGUUUCCACCAAUAGGGAUCCAGCAUCUGUAAGAAGGUCUAGUUCUUCUAUUCGUCCCGGACAGUUUGGGUAUGGCAGGGUGCCGUUCUCUCUUCCCUUACACAGACAAAACCGUCAGGCUCGCCACACACGCCGCCACAACACCACCACCAUAGACAGUCUGGAUGCUCUCAGUGUGAACUCCAGCGCACAUGUGCAUAAAGCACAAGAAGAAAUAGAACAAAUGAUCACAGACACUGUUAACAAAGAAAGAAAGGAGAAGGAAAAGGAGACGGAGGCAGCAGACGUGGAGAGUGAUGUGGCAGCCGAGAAAACAAGUGAUGGAGAGACGCACAGACGUGUGGAGAGAAUGCGGGAACAAGAGCGAAUCACACAUUCACAGCCCCUGACCCAGAGACACGUGGCCCACAACAGACGCAUCGAUGGACGCUCUUCUCGCCAAGUCCCACACUCCUACACACACACUAUCCAGCGAUCGCACACUCCCAGAGAGCCUCCUCCCUACGGCCUCCAGACUCCCACAAACCCCAACCCCGAGCCCUGGGUCCUGCAGAACGCUGCUCAGCCUUCCAGAAAUGAAGCCGGUAGUCCAGCAUCGGCCCACAACUACAGAUGCUCUGGACGGGACACAGAGUAUCGCAGGUGCAGCCUACAGGCAUGUCCAGGUGCUCCAGUAAACUCCAGGUGA
ensembl:lncRNA